rnacentral:rRNA from 1 species
UACGGGGGGAGCAAGCGUUGUUCGGAUUUACUGGGCGUAAAGGGCGCGUAGGCGGCGUGACAAGUCACUUGUGAAAUCUCCGGGCUUAACUCGGAACGGUCAAGUGAUACUGUCGUGCUAGAGUACAGAAGGGGCAACUGGAAUUCUCGGUGUAGCGGUGAAAUGCGUAGAUAUCGAGAGGAACACCUGCGGCGAAGGCGGGUUGCUGGGCUGAUACUGACGCUGAUGCGCGAAAGCCAGGGGAGCGAACGGG